rnacentral:rRNA from 1 species
AAACCAACAGGGAUUGCCCUAGUAACGGCGAGUGAAGCGGCAACAGCUCAAAUUUGAAAUCUGGCUCUCUUGAGGGUCCGAGUUGUAAUUUGUAGAGGGUGCUUUGGCGUUGGCUGUGGUCUAAGUUCCUUGGAACAGGACGUCGCAGAGGGUGAGAAUCCCGUAUGUGGCCGCCAGUCUUCGCCGUGUAAAGCCCCUUCGACGAGUCGAGUUGUUUGGGAAUGCAGCUCUAAAUGGGAGGUAAAUUUCUUCUAAAGCUAAAUAUUGGCCAGAGACCGAUAGCGCACAAGUAGAGUGAUCGAAAGAUGAAAAGCACUUUGGAAAGAGAGUCAAAAAGCACGUGAAAUUGUUGAAAGGGAAGCGCUUGCAGCCAGACUUGCUUGUAGUUGCUUAGCUAGGCUUUUGCCUGGUGUACUCUUCUGCACGCAGGCCAGCAUCAGUCCGGGCGGUUGGAUAAAGGCCUAUUAAACGUACCUCUCCUCGGGGAGGACUUAUAGGGUAGGUGCCAUGCAACCAGCCUGGAUUGAGGUCCGCGCAUCUGCUAGGAUGCUGGCGUAAUGGCUGUAAGCGGCCCGUCUUGAAACACGGACCAAGGAGUCUAACAUCUAUGCGAGUGUUUGGGUGUCAAGCCCGAGCGCGUAAUGAAAGUGAACGGAGGUGGGAACCUUUCGGGGUGCACCAUCGACCGAUCCUGAUGUCUUCGGAUGGAUUUGAGUAAGAGCAUAGCUGUUGGGACCCGAAAGAUGGUGAACUAUGCCUGAAUAGGGUGAAGCCAGAGGAAACUCUGGUGGAGGCUCGCAGCGGUUCUGACGUGCAAAUCGAUCGUCAAAUUUGGGCAUAGGGGCGAAAGACUAAUCGAACUAUCUAGUAGCUGGUU